UGCCAGCCGCCGCGGUAAUACGUAGGGGGCAAGCGUCGUCCGGAUUUACUGGGCGUAAAGGGUGCGUAGGCGGCGUGAUUAGUCACUUGUGAAAUCUCCGGGCUUAACUCGGAACGGCCAAGUGAUACUAUCGCGCUAGAGUGCAGGAAGGGCAACUGGAAUUCUUGGUGUAGCGGUGAAAUGCGUAGAUAUCAAGAGGAACACCUGAGGCGAAGGCGGCUUUCUGGACCGAUACUGACGCUGAGACGCGAAAGUGUGGGGAGCAAACAGGAUUAGAUA
rnacentral:rRNA from 1 species